UCUAACACUGCCCAGACUUUCUGUGGCUGUCCAAUGUAGCUCAAUGAGAAGUCUUUGCAAGGCAGGUGCUCUGAGCAAUUGAUGCCUCUUGUGUUUAGUUCCACUGCGAAUCAUCUAGGAAGUAACAGGACCAGUUGUCUGGCAGUCAGGAGCGUGUUACAAGGUUAAUUUAUAAAAGUGCCAAUUUCUAUCAAUGUGAACUUUUUGUAAAAAUAAGGCAAAUCUGCUUAACCUUGAUUAGUGUUUGGCAGAGCCAGCAUGCUGGAUCUUUUGCAUUAUAGGGAGAUCUCCCUGUCCUGCUCUAUAAAAAAAAAAAAAAAAUGUAUAUAUGGCAAUUGUUACUUUUGUAAGCUUUUAAAAAAAAAAAAAAAUUCACUUUGCUGAUGGUGGCAGGGGGAAACCGGGUUAAUAUUAGGACCAGCAAUAAAGUUCCUCUUCUGAAAUCAUCAGGAGCCAUCUUAACAGUAUUAGGGUGCGGGUUGAUACUUGGCAGAGGUGUAUAUAUAAGGGAUUAUUGUUGUACUCACAAAAUGUUGCAGGGAAUCUUGUUACAGUGGCACACAUGAGAAAACCAAAUACAAGUUGUAUAUAAAAUUUUCCUUGCAAACUUUGAGGGGGAAAAGUGCACCUCACAAAAGUUCAAAAUAUAUUGUGCAUGACUACAUUUGCAAAUGGUAUGCCUUAAUUAUGUAAUUUAAAGGUUCUACUAAAAUGCCUCAAAGUGCAACACAGAUUCAUCUUUAAUUUUUUUUUUUUUUUUUUGUGUAAUUCAGCCCUGUAUUUUCACACAAACUUGACUGGUUGGAUGGAAAGGUGGUUAUUCUGUACUCGAGAUAUAGUAGAGCACAAUUUAGUGAUUUUCAAAAAUUAUUACUGCAGCACACAGUACAAAAUAAAUAGCUAGAUUGCAAUGUGCAUGUGAAAAAAAAAAUCAAAAACAAAGUAUGAUUGGGCCCAUCAAAUCAAUCUGGCAAAAUUCGAACGGUAAAAAUUGGAAUAGGUCUCUUGCACCUCUCUUUAGUUUAGUGGUAACAGCAUACAUUGGGGGUAUUUUUUUUAUUUUUUUACUCGGCUUGCGGAUCAUAAUUUGGGUGGGAUUUAUCAUAGUGGCACAUAAUGAGAUUUGGAAAAUGCC